rnacentral:lncRNA from 1 species
AGUACCAUCCCAUCAGCUGCCAGUGAGGCCAGAACAAAGCAAGCAGAAGAGAAAAGGGUGAGCAGCUUGCUCAUCACUCUCUCUGUCUUCCCGUGCUGGAUGCUUCCUUCCUCUCCUCCUGCCCUUGGACAUCAGACUUCCUGGUCUUUGGCCUUUGGACUCUGGGACUUGCACCAGCGGCCUCCUGGAGGAUUACAGGGCUUCAUCCUAAGACCGAGACCUACGCAGUCGGCUUCUCUGGUUUUGAGGCUUUUAGACUUGGACUGAGUCACACUACGGGCUUCUGUCUUUCCCCAGCUUGCCAAGAGCCUGUUGUGGGAUUUCUGCUCGUAAUCAUGAUCUUGACUGAUUUAAAAAAAAAUGAUACCAACCAGUUGGUUGCAGAUAACAGACCCUCAGGAUGGUUGGUAUUUGUGGAAUUAGCGUUCAGGCUGAGAGGGAGGGGGAACAACAGUGAAACUCCCCACGCCGACCAGCAUAGCACCUGCUGCCACCUGGUGGAACGUGGCUGAGACAAGGAACGCUGGGACCUGAAGCAGGACCUACACUUCAAACAAACAUCUGGCUUUGAAAUGUUUCCUGAAGGCAUCAAAUAAAUUGUGGCUGUCGAUGUUGUUGGCUGACUCUCCUCCUAUGAGAAUAAAAUUCAGAGACUGAUUCUGUAGGUUUCUGGUUGCAUGAUAAAUUUCAUCCUAGCCAGAUCUUCUAAGUGCAGCUGAGGGCCCUGAUGGGGAGAGUGGUGUAUUAGUUCCUCCCCUGCUGUAACAAAGCACCACUGACCUGGUGCCCACGCUCUCUUUUCUUCUG